ACCAACCUCUGGCAUUUCGUGAAGAUACGUGGCUGUGUACAUCGGGGAACCACGGAAGGACAAACGCUUCACCCUCCCACGGUCCUCUCGCCGUGGUAGAGCGUGGUUUUCCCGCAGAAGAAGCCUAUUAGAAAGGAAGAACCCAAAGUUUGAAGCCCUGGUCUACCCCAUGGGGUGGGGUGGUUUAAAGCGAUGUGGUGACAUCGAAAGUUUCAGGAGAGACAAGUCAACAGAGCCUGACUCUGGGCUGCUGGUGGCCGAGGGAUUAUGCCCUGUAUUUGGGCACUGCCAGCGGGUUGGUUCAGAAGACUAGGAAAAGCUAUGACUGGGCAGCCUGGUGAACCCCACGACUGCGGGAUCCUGUGCUUAAAGGAGAGGCCAGUUCUCCUGUUACUACCACACUCACGGGAGCUCUUCAGCCACGUGAGACUCAUUUGAGCAAGAGCGGCCGGGCUGCCAACCGUGUUGAACAUGCCUCUGGUAUUUCGGGCAUCUCCCUCCGUUAGAACUAGCAGAGCACAGAUGGCAGGCGAGCUCAUGAGAAGAUGCUGCGCAUCCCACGUCGUCGGCGACAUGCAGGUCACAAUAAGAGCGAGCUCACUGUGAGCGCGGCGGGAUCCAGACACGGUGCACCCAGCGCCGGCAGGCGUGCGGCCAGAGUGCCCAGGGUGCAGCCGGUUUGCCUGGAAGACAGUUUGCUGGCUUCUCGCAAGACCAGACAUCCUCUCAAUAUAGGGUCCAGCAGUCGCUCGUGUUGGUAUCUCCCCAAAGGAACUGAAAACUUAUGUCCACGCAGAAACCUGCACGCAGACGUUUAUAGCAGCUGUGCUCCCCGUGGCCAGCAGUCGGAAGCAACCAAGGUACACUGUGGUCCAUCCGGACAGUGGACGGGACUGUUAUUACUCAGUGCUGAAACCAUUUGUACCAGCACGCGACGGAGCUGUGCCCCGGGCUCCCUCCUGAACUGCUGGGUCUUAAUGCGAAUAAUAAAACAUUCUUCAUAGCGUCGGGAUUGCUGGCA